rnacentral:rRNA from 1 species
UUAAGCAUAUCAAUAAGCGGAGGAAAAGAAACCAACCGGGAUUGCCUCAGUAACGGCGAGUGAAGCGGCAAAAGCUCAAAUUUGAAAUCUGGCACUUUCAGUGUCCGAGUUGUAAUUUGUAGAAGUAGUUUUGGGGCUGGUCCUUGUCUAUGUUCCUUGGAACAGGACGUCAUAGAGGGUGAGAAUCCCGUGUGGCGAGGAUCCCAGUUCUUUGUAAAACGCUUUCGAAGAGUCGAGUUGUUUGGGAAUGCAGCUCUAAGUGGGUGGUAAAUUCCAUCUAAAGCUAAAUAUUGGCGAGAGACCGAUAGCGAACAAGUACAGUGAUGGAAAGAUGAAAAGAACUUUGAAAAGAGAGUGAAAAAGUACGUGAAAUUGUUGAAAGGGAAGGGCAUUUGAUCAGACAUGGUGUUUGGACGCCCUGCGCUCCUUGUGGGUGCAGGACACGCUUUUCACUGGGCCAACAUCGGUUUUGGCAGCAGGAUAAAUCGUUAGGAACGUAGCUGCCCUCGGGUAGUGUUACAGCCUGGCGGAAUACUGCUAGCCGGGACUGAGGACUGCGUCUUUUGACAAGGAUGUUGGCAUAAUGGUUAAAUGCCGCCCGUCUUGAAACAUGGACCAAGGAGUCUAACGUCUAUGCGAGUGUUUGGGUGUAAAACCCGUACGCGUAAUGAAAGUGAACGUAGGUGAGGGCCCCUUUAGGGGUGCAUCAUCGACCGAUCCUGAUGUCUUCGGAUGGAUUUGAGUAAGAGCAUAGCUGUUGGGACCCGAAAGAUGGUGAACUAUGCCUGAAUAGGGUGAAGCCAGAGGAAACUCUGGUGGAGGCUCGUAGCGGUUCUGACGUGCAAAUCGAUCGUCGAAUUUGGGUAUAGGGGCGAAAGACUAAUCGAACCAUCUAGUAGCUGGUUCCUGCCGAUU